GAUUACUCUGACCUGGUGGAGCGUGCAAAAUGCUUCCACGAACUCUUAAAGAGCCUGCGCAAGAAACUGGAAUGGCUGUUUCUUUCAAGAACCUUAAACCUGAAGGUUUCCAGGGUGACAAGGAGUAUUAGUUGAGUACAGGGAUCAAAUAGUACGCUCUUGCAUUCAAGUUCUCGCUCUCUUAUCAACGCCUUCAGGCAGAGGCUUUCCCUUGGCUUCUUUACUUUGGUCUCCGUUCUGCCUCACGUAGCAGAAAUACCUUUUUUAUCCUGUUCAAUCCCAGAUGUUAAAGCUCAUAUUGGUUGGCAUCUCAAGUUCCCCUGGAGUAGUAUCUAACAAACUUGUUGAAGCAAUAAGUGGUUCCUUGAAGCUAACGCUAAAGAGAUACAAUGCUGGAGAUAUGGGUCUAUACUCCGAGGAAGGCGCCUUAUGCUAGUGAGGAAAUCAAUGUGGUUCGUGAGCAAUGGGCUAAGGUUUUUACCAACAAGUACUUAUUAUUGGCUUGAGCGUGCUUGAUCGAGUUGGUUUAGAUGUUAUAGAACAAUCUUUUAUAUUAAAAUGUAUGCGUAUGUUGAAAUUGGAACAUAUGUUUAAAUGUAGUAAGUGCAUUUUGGU